GGCGGCGUGCUUAACACAUGCAAGUCGAGCGGAAAGGCGCUUCGGGGUACUCGAGCGGCGAACGGGUGAGUAACACGUGAGCAACCCGCCCCAGGCUUUGGGAUAACCCCGGGAAACCGGGGCUAAUACCGGAUAUGACCUUGCACCGCAUGGUGUUUGGUGGAAAGUUUUUCGGCUUGGGAUGGGCUCGCGGCCUAUCAGCUUGUUGGUGGGGUGAUGGCCUACCAAGGCGACGACGGGUAGCCGGCCUGAGAGGGCGACCGGCCACACUGGGACUGAGACACGGCCCAGACUCCUACGGGAGGCAGCAGUGGGGAAUAUUGCACAAUGGGCGGAAGCCUGAUGCAGCGACGCCGCGUGAGGGAUGACGGCCUUCGGGUUGUAAACCUCUUUCAGCAGGGACGAAGCGUAAGUGACGGUACCUGCAGAAGAAGCGCCGGCCAACUACGUGCCAGCAGCCGCGGUAAGACGUAGGGCGCGAGCGUUGUCCGGAUUUAUUGGGCGUAAAGAGCUCGUAGGCGGCUUGUCGCGUCGACCGUGAAAACUUGGGGCUCAACCCCAGGCCUGCGGUCGAUACGGGCAGGCUAGAGUUCGGUAGGGGAGACUGGAAUUCCUGGUGUAGCGGUGAAAUGCGCAGAUAUCAGGAGGAACACCGGUGGCGAAGGCGGGUCUCUGGGCCGAUACUGACGCUGAGGAGCGAAAGCGUGGGGAGCGAACAGGAUUAGAUACCCUGGUAGUCCACGCUGUAAACGUUGGGCGCUAGGUGUGGGGGGCCUCUCCGGUUCCCUGUGCCGCAGCUAACGCAUUAAGCGCCCCGCCUGGGGAGUACGGCCGC
rnacentral:rRNA from 1 species